GACGUACGCUGGCGGCGUGCUUAACACAUGCAAGUCGAACGGUAAGGCCCUUCGGGGUACACGAGUGGCGAACGGGUGAGUAACACGUGGGUGAUCUGCCCCGCACUUCGGGAUAAGCCUGGGCAACUGGGUCUAAUACCGGAUAGGUCCAACGCCUGCAUGGGUGGUGGUGGAAAGCUUUUGCGGUGUGGGAUGGGCCCGCGGCCUAUCAGCUUGUUGGUGGGGUGAUGGCCUACCAAGGCGACGACGGGUAGCCGGCCUGAGAGGGUGACCGGCCACACUGGGACUGAGAUACGGCCCAGACUCCUACGGGAGGCAGCAGCGGGGAAUAUUGCACAAUGGGCGCAAGCCUGAUGCAGCGACGCCGCGUGAGGGAUGACGGCCUUCGGGUUGUAAACCUCUUUCAGCACCGACGAAGCGCCAGUGACGGUAGGUGCAGAAGAAGGACCGGCCAACUACGUGCCAGCCGCCGCAGUAA
rnacentral:rRNA from 1 species